rnacentral:rRNA from 1 species
UUGAUCCUGGCUCCUGAUGAACGCUUGACGGCAGGCCUAACACAUGCAUGUCGAGGGGUAAUUUCGAUCUUCGGAUCGGAAACGACCGGCAAAUGGGUGAGUAAUACAUAUGCAACCUGCCCGUAGCUGGAGAAUAGCUUCCGGAAACGGAAAUUAAUACUCCAUAAUAUUCUAGUAUCGCAUGUUAUUAGAAUUAAAGCUUCGGUGGCUAUGGAUGGGCAUAUAUCCCAUUAGCUUGUUGGUGAGGUAACUGCUCACCAAGGCUACGAUGGGUAGGGGGUCUGAGAGGAUGAUCCCCCACACUGGUACUGAGACACGGACCAGACUCCUACGGGAGGCAGCAGUGAGGAAUAUUGGUCAAUGGGCGAAAGCCUGAACCAGCCAUGCCGCGUGCAGGAUGACAGUCCUACGGAUUGUAAACUGCUUUUCUGCAAGAAGAAAUGUUCCGACGUGUCGGGAUUUGACGGUAUUGCAGGAAUAAGCAUCGGCUAACUCCGUGCCAGCAGCCGCGGUAAUACGGAGAAUGCAAGCGUUAUCCGGAUUCAUUGGGUUUAAAGGGUGCGUAGGCGGAUUAGAUAGUCAAAGGUGAAAGCCUGCAGCUUAACUGUAGAAGUGCCUUUGAUACUGCUAAUCUUGAGUACAGUUGAGGCGAGUGGAAUGUGUAGUGUAGCGGUGAAAUGCAUAGAUACUACACAGAACACCAAUUGCGAAGGCAGCUCGCUAAGCUGUUACUGACGCUCAAGGCACGAAAGCGUGGGGAGCGAACAGGAUUAGAUACCCUGGUAGUCCACGCUGUAAACUAUGAUCACU